GCCAGUGCCGCUGGACUGGCUCCUGUGCCGGUGGCGCGUAAAAAGCACCAUACACUAUUUAAAGAAAAACAAGGUGGCAAUCAGGACUACCGCAGCAGUAAGUUUCUGUGAAAAUUGACCGAAAAGAUAAGGACAGAGAGAAAUAAGCACUUUGUCAGGAUGGAAUCUACCUUGGCAAAGAAGCGUGGAGGUGAAAGUUUUGGUGACAUCAUACAAGGAUAACAUCUGGCAUGGUUCUCAACAUUCCUCGAUUCCACCGAAGAUUCAACCGUCACCGUUUCCGUCCCUUAAUUAAGCCGUUUCACAAGUUCUUGUAGUAUCGUUUUUAUUUUAUUUACCUUUCAUUCUGUUCUUUUUAAUUGUUUAUUCUGUUGUCUCACUUUUAAUUAUCAUUUCGUUAGAAAUUAACUAAUUAAGUGCGCGAAAUCCAAACGAUCGCGCACUUCCAGCCUUGUACUAAUUAAAUCAUUAUUAAUAAUA
rnacentral:lncRNA from 1 species